GGGGAUGACGUCAAGUCAUCAUGGCCCUUACGAGUAGGGCUACACACGUGCUACAAUGGUCAGUACAGAGGGUUGCGAAGCCGCGAGGUGGAGCUAAUCCCAUAAAGCUGGUCGUAGUCCGGAUUGGAGUCUGCAACUCGACUCCAUGAAGUCGGAAUCGCUAGUAAUCGUGGAUCAGAAUGCCACGGUGAAUACGUUCCCGGGCCUUGUACACACCGCCCGUCACACCAUGGGAGUGGGCUGCACCAGAAGUAGAUAGCUUA
rnacentral:rRNA from 1 species